rnacentral:rRNA from 1 species
UACAGAGGGUGCAAGCGUUGUUCGGAAUUACUGGGCGUAAAGGGCGCGUAGGCGGCCUUCUAAGUCGGACGUGAAAGCCCCAGGCUUAACCUGGGAACUGCAUCCAAAACUACUGAGCUAGAGUACGGUAGAGGGUAGUGGAAUUUCCUGUGUAGCGGUGAAAUGCGUAGAUAUAGGAAGGAACACCAGUGGCGAAGGCGACUACCUGGACUGAUACUGACACUGAGGUGCGAAAGCGUGGGGAGCAAACAGGAUUAGAAACCCGAGUAGU